rnacentral:rRNA from 1 species
CUGUAAGCCUGUGAAGGUGGCCUGUGAGGGUUGCUGGAGGUAUCAGAAGUGCGAAUGCUGACAUAAGUAACGAUAAAGCGGGUGAAAAGCCCGCUCGCCGGAAGACCAAGGGUUCCUGUCCAACGUUAAUCGGGGCAGGGUGAGUCGACCCCUAAGGCGAGGCCGAAAGGCGUAGUCGAUGGGAAACAGGUUAAUAUUCCUGUACUUGGUGUUACUGCGAAGGGGGGACGGAGAAGGCUAUGUUGGCCGGGCGACGGUUGUCCCGGUUUAAGCGUGUAGGCUGGUUUUCCAGGCAAAUCCGGAAAACCAAGGCUGAGGCGUGAUGACGAGGCACUACGGUGCUGAAGCGACAAAUGCCCUGCUUCCAGGAAAAGCCUCUAAGCAUCAGGUAACAUCAAAUCGUACCCCAAACCGACACAGGUGGUCAGGUAGAGAAUACCAAGGCGCUUGAGAGAACUCGGGUGAAGGAACUAGGCAAAAUGGUGCCGUAACUUCGGGAGAAGGCACGCUGAUAUGUAGGUGAAGCGACUUGCUCGUGGAGCUGAAAUCAGUCGAAGAUACCAGCUGGCUGCAACUGUUUAUUAAAAACACAGCACUGUGCAAACACGAAAGUGGACGUAUACGGUGUGACGCCUGCCCGGUGCCGGAAGGUUAAUUGAUGGGGUUAGCGGCAACGCGAAGCUCUUGAUCGAAGCCCCGGUAAACGGCGGCCGUAACUAUAACGGUCCUAAGGUAGCGAAAUUCCUUGUCGGGUAAGUUCCGACCUGCACGAAUGGCGUAAUGAUGGCCAGGCUGUCUCCACCCGAGACUCAGUGAAAUUGAACUCGCUGUGAAGAUGCAGUGUACCCGCGGCAAGACGGAAAGACCCCGUGAACCUUUACUAUAGCUUGACACUGAACAUUGAGCCUUGAUGUGUAGGAUAGGUGGGAGGCUUUGAAGUGUGGACGCCAGUCUGCAUGGAGCCGACCUUGAAAUACCACCCUUUAAUGUUUGAUGUUCUAACGUUGGCCCGUAAUCCGGGUUGCGGACAGUGUCUGGUGGGUAGUUUGACUGGGGCGGUCUCCUCCUAAAGAGUAACGGAGGAGCACGAAGGUUGGCUAAUCCUGGUCGGACAUCAGGAGGUUAGUGCAAUGGCAUAAGCCAGCUUGACUGCGAGCGUGACGGCGCGAGCAGGUGCGAAAGCAGGUCAUAGUGAUCCGGUGGUUCUGAAUGGAAGGGCCAUCGCUCAACGGAUAAAAGGUACUCCGGGGAUAACAGGCUGAUACCGCCCAAGAGUUCAUAUCGACGGCGGUGUUUGGCACCUCGAUGUCGGCUCAUCACAUCCUGGGGCUGAAGUAGGUCCCAAGGGUAUGGCUGUUCGCCAUUUAAAGUGGUACGCGAGCUGGGUUUAGAACGUCGUGAGACAGUUCGGUCCCUAUCUGCCGUGGGCGCUGGAGAACUGAGGGGGGCUGCUCCUAGUACGAGAGGACCGGAGUGGACGCAUCACUGGUGUUCGGGUUGUCAUGCCAAUGGCACUGCCCGGUAGCUAAAUGCGGAAGAGAUAAGUGCUGAAAGCAUCUAAGCACGAAACUUGCCCCGAGAUGAGUUCUCCCUGAGACUUAGAGUCUCCUGAAGGAACGUUGAAGACGACGACGUUGAUAGGCCGGGUGUGUAAGCGCAGCGAUGCGUUGAGCUAACCGGUACUAAUGAACCGUGAGGCUUAACCUU